rnacentral:rRNA from 1 species
UACAGAGGGAGCGAGCGUUGUUCGGAAUUACUGGGCGUAAAGGGCGCGUAGGCGGUCCGAUAAGUCCCGUGUGAAAUCCCUCGGCUCAACUGAGGAAUGGCACGGGAAACUGACGGGCUUGAGUUCGGGAGAGGGAAGCGGAAUUCCGGGUGUAGCGGUGAAAUGCGUAGAUAUCCGGAGGAACACCGGUGGCGAAGGCGGCUUCCUGGACCGACACUGACGCUGGAGGCGCGAAAGCUAGGGGAGCAAACGGG